rnacentral:rRNA from 1 species
AUGCACAGCAAUAGGACCGAGACCACGCGAAGGACAGCCAAAGAGAAACACAUGAAGAAGAAACACACCACCGUCGGCCCCAAGCUCGCCGCACCACCACCACCAAAACGCACCACCCUCAACCACACGCAGCAGCAGGAACCGUCGCUUUGGGCCCCCAAGAUGAUGCCUCCAAGGAGGAAGUGUUGUCGAAGACUCAACACCAUCAUCCGAUCCGGCGAGCCUGAUCUUAGGUUUUCACCCGGUGACCACAAAGCAGAGUACCGUAGAUGCUGGAGCUCCACAGCAGCACCUCCUGCGAGGAAGGCGACGUCCAUAGACGCCGCUGCCGCCGGCAUCGACAAAGUCGAUGCAAGGUUCUCACCCGGAGUUUGA